rnacentral:rRNA from 1 species
CCUACGGGUGGCAGCAGUGGGGGAUAUUGCACAAUGGGGGGAACCCUGAUGCAGCGACGCCGCGUGGGUGAAGAAGCGCCUCGGCGCGUAAAGCCCUGUCAGCAGGGAAGAAAAUGACGGUACCUGAAGACUAAGCCCCGGCUAACUACGUGCCAGCAGCUGCGGUAAUACGUAGGGGGCAAGCGUUAUCCGGAUUUACUGGGUGUAAAGGGGGCGCAGACGGCGAUGCAAGCCAGGGGUGAAAGCCCGGGGCCCAACCCCGGGACUGCUCUUGGAACUGCGUGGCUGGGGUGCAGGAGGGCAGGGCGGAAUUCCUGGUGUAGCGGUGAAAGGCGUAGAAAUAAGGAGGAACCCAGGUGGCGAGGGCGGCCGGCGGGACUGGA